rfam:Hypsibius dujardini strain Z151 scaffold0091, whole genome shotgun sequence.
AUACUUACCUGGACCCGGGAUUGUGGCGCUCAAGUAUGCCCAACCCUCACUGGAGUGGAACCAUUGCACUUCCGGUUCUAUGAAGGUGGCCUCUUCGGUCAAAAAGAUCGGGGCAGGGGGUCAGAAUUUUUGAUAGUUGGGGGACUGCGUUCGCGCUAUCCCCCU